AUCCCUUUAUUGCUUUCUCUUCUCUCCUUGGAUCAAUCAACCAAUCCAACUCCUACAGCUUUAAUGGGCCGAGGGGGAAGGACGGGAGCUCGCCGGAGAUGAAGCGGAAGCGUCGCGUCGCCUCCUACAAUGUCUUCACCAUGGAAGCCAAGCUCAAGUCCUCCGUCUGCAACAGCUUCAAGUGGAUCAAGAACAAGUUCAGCGACGUCCUCUGAGGAG
rnacentral:misc_RNA from 1 species